rnacentral:tRNA from 1 species
CAGAUCAAAGAGAAUGGCGUCUUUCUGGCGGCUCAUGUCUGCCCCUUGUCGCUGGUGCUAUUCUGGCCGGUCUGC